CCCAGCAGCUACUCUCAGAGAAAUCACUUCUGUAGGUGUUUCCCACUUCUUUCCCUAAAUGCCAAACUACCACAAUUUUCAAAAGAAUGUAAUUUUUUCAAAAUUAGUUGUUCAAUUGAAUUUCCUCUUUCCUAUAGUCAGCCGAUAGAUCAGUCUGUGUGGGUUUCUCUCGGCAGCAUAGGGAAUCGUCCAUAAUGACCCAAGCAGCUCAUGAGCAAUCACGAUUUCUUGUGCUGCUCCUUCUGAACACCACCUUGUUCUGUAAGGCAGUCAGUUAAGAAAACCUUUGAAGUACAGAAGUGAAGCACAAGGACUGGAAAUUUACAGGCUGGGGAUGUUUUUAAAAUCCUCCCACCAACCUGCCAAAUCACAGGAUGGAGUUCUCAGUGUCUCCUUUCCAUUGAAUGUUUUGCCACAUGCAAACUUUCAUCUUUUCAGUAUACUUUUGGAUUCUGCUAGGCUUACUUUCAAAGGUUAAAAGAAUGGAGUGUACUGGAGUCAGGAAAGCUCAGUGUUGGUUCACCAGCAUUGCAUUUCUGCACCAGUCAUAGCUGAUAAGUUCAAAACCACAUCAGCAAUCUGAACAGCAAAACUGGCACCAGCCUGUUUCAGCUGCUUGCUGUUAAUGCUUGAAGGGAAGCAAGAUGCACUGAAUUGCAGGAUGGGCAGUGGCUACAGGUGAGGGUCAGCACCAACCAGCAAUGGAAAUGUAAAAUCCCAACCUGACAGGUUAAUAAGGAAACAGACCUCAGCCUCACACUACUGAAAGUACAGUCAAAUUUCUAUCUUGAAUUUAAUUAUUUUACCUUAAAUUUCUUAGCAAGAAAUUUUGUUCUCAAGGGAAUUGAGUUUUUGACAUGUGCAUGGGCUGAUUCAUGUUUUUAUAGGCUGAACUUCUUUGUGUUGGAAGUCUGGCACCUAGAAAACCUGUGAUUUAUGCUUGUGAAUGAUACCUAUUAUAUAGUUAUAGAAACAUACCUGCAUCUAUAAAACUGACUGAUGGCUCCUUAUAUGAAACCAUCUUAUUACGAGUGACUAGAAGUGCUGAGGAUGGCAGUGAUCUUUUGUAG
rnacentral:lncRNA from 1 species